UACGAAGGGGGCUAGCGUUGUUCGGAAUUACUGGGCGUAAAGGGCGCGUAGGCGGCGUGUCAAGUCAGGCGUGAAAGCCCCGGGCUCAACCUGGGAACCGCGCUUGAGACUGGCAUGCUCGAGUUCGGGAGAGGAUGGUGGAAUUCCCAGUGUAGCGGUGAAAUGCGUAGAUAUCUGGAGGAAUACCGGUGGCGAAGGCGGCAUCCUGGACCAACACUGACACUGAGGAGCGAAAGCCAGGGGAGCAAACGGG
rnacentral:rRNA from 1 species